ACCCGGGCUGAUAACUAGGCGGCGGUCUCAAUUUCUCCUCCACGACCUCUGCCCUUUAAGUGCUCGGAACAUUGAGAUAUUAGCGGCGAUCUUACACGUUUUCUGAUUCUACAUGACGUCUAAUGUUUAUAUUACCGCGACACUA
rnacentral:snoRNA from 1 species